AUUGAACGCUGGCGGCAUGCCUUACACAUGCAAGUCGAACGGCAGCACGGGAGCAAUCCUGGUGGCGAGUGGCGAACGGGUGAGUAAUAUAUCGGAACGUGCCCGGUCGUGGGGAUAACGUAGCGAAAGCUACGCUAAUACCGCAUACGAUCUAUGGAUGAAAGCGGGGGAUCGCAAGACCUCGCGCGAUUGGAGCGGCCGAUAUCAGAUUAGGUAGUUGGUGAGGUAAAGGCUCACCAAGCCGACGAUCUGUAGCUGGUCUGAGAGGACGACCAGCCACACUGGGACUGAGACACGGCCCAGACUCCUACGGGAGGCAGCAGUGGGGAAUUUUGGACAAUGGGCGCAAGCCUGAUCCAGCAAUGCCGCGUGCAGGAUGAAGGCCUUCGGUGUAACUGCUUUGUACGGAACGAAACGGUAGAGCUCUAAUACAGUUGCUAAUGACGGUACCGUAA
rnacentral:rRNA from 1 species